GACAGAGGGUGCAAACGUUGUUCGGAAUUACUGGGCGUAAAGCGUGCGCAGGCGGCCUUGCAAGUCGGGCGUGAAAUCCCACGGCUCAACCGUGGAAGUGCACUCGAAACUGCUUGGCUAGAGUCUUGGAGAGGAAGGCGGAAUGGCUUGGUGUAGAGGUGAAAUUCGAUAGAUAUCAAGCGGAACACCGGUGGCGAAGGCGGCCUCUGGACAAUGACUGACGCUAAACACGAAGCGUGGGAGCAAACAGG
rnacentral:rRNA from 1 species